ACAGCAGUCGCCGCGGUAAUACGAAGGGUGCAAGCGUUACUCGGAAUUACUGGGCGUAAAGCGUGCGUAGGUGGUGGUUUAAGUCCGUUGUGAAAGCCCUGGGCUCAACCUGGGAAUUGCAGUGGAUACUGGGUCACUAGAGUGUGGUAGAGGAUAGUGGAAUUUCCGGUGUAGCAGUGAAAUGCGUAGAGAUCGGAAGGAACAUCUGUGGCGAAGGCGACUAUCUGGGCCAACACUGACACUGAGGCACGAAAGCGUGGGGAGCAAACAGGAUUAGAUACCCCUGUAGUCCCUGUCUCUUAUAC
rnacentral:rRNA from 1 species